rnacentral:rRNA from 1 species
GACGAACGCUGGCGGCGUGCUUAACACAUGCAAGUCGAGCGGUAAGGCCCUUUCGGGGGUACACGAGCGGCGAACGGGUGAGUAACACGUGGGUGACCUGCCCUCAGCUCUGGGAUAAGCCUGGGAAACCGGGUCUAAUACUGGAUAUGACUCCAUGACGCAUGUUGUGGGGUGAAAGCCUUGUGCGGCUGAGGAUGGGCCCGCGGCCUAUCAGCUUGUUGGUGGGGUGAUGGCCUACCAAGGCGACGACGGGUAGCCGGCCUGAGAGGGCGACCGGCCACACUGGGACUGAGACACGGCCCAGACUCCUACGGGAGGCAGCAGUGGGGAAUCUUGCGCAAUGGGCAAAAGCCUGACGCAGCGACGCCGCGUGAGGGAUGACGGCCU